GUGCACCUUGCAGCACAUACACUAAAAUUAAAAUGAUGGAAGAUCAGCAUGGCCUCUGCACAAGGAUGAAACAAACGCAAAUUUGUGAAACAUUCCAUGUUGUU